rnacentral:rRNA from 1 species
UACGGAGGAUCCAAGCGUUAUCCGGAUUUAUUGGGUUUAAAGGGUGCGCAGGCGGACUAAUAAGUCAGUGGUGAAAUCUACAUGCUUAACAUGUAAUGUGCCAUUGAUACUGUUAGACUAGUAUGCAAAUGACGUAGCUGGAAUGUGUUAUGUAGCGGUGAAAUGCUUAGAUAUAACACAGAACACCGAUCGUGAAGACAGGUUACGAAUUUGUUAUAGACGCUCAUGCACGAAAGCGUGGGGAUCAAACAGGAUUAGAUACCCUGGUAGUCCACGCUGUAAACGAUGAUAACUUGUUGUUGGGCACAUAGUGCUCAGUGGCUAAGCGAAAGCGAUAAGUUAUCCACCUGGGGAGUACGAUCGCAAGGUUGAA